ensembl:miRNA Mir5126 microRNA 5126
GGGACCGGACGCCUCCUGCAGCUGCGGGAGCCCGUGGUUCCCCGGGCAACCGCGGGCGGGGCCGGGGGCGGGGCCCA